UUUGAUCCUGGCUCAAAUUGAACGCUGGCGGCAGGCCUAACACAUGCAAGUCGAGCGGUAAGAGAGCUUGCUCUCUACGAGCGGCGGACGGGUGAGUAAUGUCUGGGAAACUGCCUGAUGGAGGGGGAUAACUACUGGAAACGGUAGCUAAUACCGCAUAACGUCUUCGGACCAAAGUGGUUCGUCACGCCAUCAGAUGUGCCCAGAUGGGAUUAGCUAGUAGGUGGGGUAAUGGCUCACCUAGGCAACGAUCCCUAGCUGGUCUGAGAGGAUGACCAGCCACACUGGAACUGAGACACGGUCCAGACUCCUACGGGAGGCAGCAGUGGGGAAUAUUGCACAAUGGGCGCAAGCCUGAUGCAGCCAUGCCGCGUGUGUGAAGAAGGCCUUCGGGUUGUAAAGCACUUUCAGCGAGGAGGAAGGGUAGUGUUAAUACAUUGCAUUGACGUUACUCGCAGAAGAAGCACCGGCUAACUCCGUGCCAGCAGCCGCGGUAAUACGGAGGGUGCAAGCGUUAAUCGGAAUUACUGGGCGUAAAGCGCACGCAGGCGGUUUGUUAAGUCAGAUGUGAAAUCCCCGCGCUUAACGUGGGAACUGCAUUUGAAACUGGCAAGCUAGAGUCUUGUAGAGGGGGGUAGAAUUCCAGGUGUAGCGGUGAAAUGCGUAGAGAUCUGGAGGAAUACCG
rnacentral:rRNA from 1 species